CAGGCACACCUCGGGAGAGUGACGUGGAAAAGUAGAGAUAAUGUGUGAGGUGACUGGCACAGAGCAGGUGUUCGGCCAAUAGCCGUUACAAUGAAGAUGAAAAGGCGGGGCACAGAUAGAGCAAGAGGGGACAGGGAAGCUGCUGACACCCCCGCCCCCCCACCCCGCGGAAAGCUACGGAUGUGCUAAACCACCAGGCAAAAGGGUCGUCACCAAGGUCACCCUUCACCCAGGCCCCAGGGAGACACCGUUUCCACCUAGCCCCAGCCCCGGGCACUCUGACAACAUGAGCAACUUGUCAAAGGACAGGGCAUGUCCACGGGACCGAUGCCAGAGCUGGCAAGGACCUUAAAGGCCAUCCGGUCAGUGCCCUAUUUUGUACUCAGGAAACUGAAACCCAGAGGGACAAAAGGCACGGCUGAAGUGCCAUGACCAGAGCCACAGCGGCAAUUCGGGUCUCGGGCCGGCCGACCCGAAGUACUCUGAGGCCCGCACACUCGGGGCGUGGCCGAGAGCUGCGGUCACACAGGCGGCCAGCACAGCACCCCACGUGGGCUCUCUGGGGGCACCCCCAUACUUAAAAGACUUUACCACGGCAGCCUCGCCAUCCCCAGGCCUGGAGGCCGAUGCUGAUUACCCUGAAGCCCAUGCCCGAUCGGACCAGCUCAAGAUAGGAUCCGGGUGUCCGUCUCCCGUGCACGCAGCGAGUAAGACUACUGACUUAGUGCACACCCACUUCCACGGCAAGCCUCCAGAAUUUUCCCUGGAAACCUGAAACAACGUCUAUCCCACUCUGCAAAAACGCUCCACCAAAGCCCCACCCCGGUCCAGCCCCUGACCUAAAGGUGCCCUCACCCACCUGAGGAAUGAACCUGGACAGCCAGCCCGCCAGCUCUGAGCUGGCGCCAGGAUCCACCCCCCUGCCGCUUCACCAGCAGGUCCCAGGACACACAGCUGUUGACACACCUCCCUGCUCCCACCAGGCCACCUUC